AACGAACGCUGGCGGCAUGCCUAACACAUGCAAGUCGAACGAGACCUUCGGGCCUAGUGGCGCACGGGUGCGUACCGCGUGGUAACCUGCCCUUAGGUUCGGAAUAACUCCCCGAAAGGGGUGCUAAUACCGGAUAAUGUCUUCGGACCAAAGAUUUAUCGCCUUUGGAUGGGCCCGCGUUGGAUUAGCUAGUUGGUAGGGUAAAAGCCUACCAAGGCGACGAUCCAUAGCUGGUCUGAGAGGAUGAUCAGCCACACUGGGACUGAGACACGGCCCAGACUCCUACGGAAGGCAGCAGUGGGGAAUAUUGGACAAUGGGCGAAAGCCUGAUCCAGCGAUGCCGCGUAAGUGAUGAAGGCCUUAGGGUUGUAAAGCUCUUUUACCCGAGAUGAUAAUGACAGUACCGGGAGAAUAAGCACCGGCUAACUCCGUG
rnacentral:rRNA from 1 species